CCUACGGGCGGCAGCAGUGGGGAAUAUUGCACAAUGGGGGAAACCCUGAUGCAGCGACGCCGCGUGAGUGAAGAAGUAUUUCGGAAUGUAAAGCUCUAUCAGCAGGGAAGAAAAUGACGGUACCUGAUUAUGAAGCCCCGGCUAACUACAUGCCAGCAGCCGCGGUAAUACGUAGGGGGCAAGCGUUAUCCGGAUUUACUGGGUGUAAAGGGAGCGUAGACGGCAGCACAAGGCUGGAGUGAAAUGCCGGGGCUUAACCCCGGAACUGCUUUGGAAACUGUGCAGCUAGAGUGCAGGAGAGGUAAGUGGAAUUCCUAGUGUAGCGGUGAAAUGCGUAGAUAUUAGGAGGAACACCAGUGGCGAAGGCGGCUUACUGGACUGUAACUGACGUUGAGGCUCGAAAGCGUGGGGAGCAAACAGGAUUAGAUACCCCAGUAGUC
rnacentral:rRNA from 1 species